AUUAAAAACCAAUGCCCUUCGGGGCUCACUGGUGAUUCAUGAUAACUCCUCGAAUCGCAUGGCCUUGUGCCGGCGAUGGUUCAUUCAAAUUUCUUCCCUAUCAACUUUCGAUGUUUGGGUAUUGGCCAAACAUGGUUGCAACGGGUAACGGAGGGUUAGGGCUCGACCCCGGAGAAGGAGCCUGAGAAUCGGCUACUACAUCCAAGGAAGGCAGCAGGCGCGCAAAUUACCCAAUCCCGACACGGGGAGGUAGUGACAAUAAAUACUGAUACAGGGCUCUUUUGGGUCUUGUAAUUGGAAUGAGUACAAUUUAAAUCCCUUAACGAGGAACAAUUGGAGGGCAAGUCUGGUGCCAGCAGCCGCGGUAAUUCCAGCUCCAAUAGCGUAUAUUAAAGUUGUUGUGGUUAAAAAGCUCGUAGUUGAACCUUGGGCCUGGCUGGCCGGUCCGCCUCACCGCGUGUACUGGUCCGGCCGGGCCUUUCCCUCUGUGGAACCCCAUGCCCUUCACUGGGUGUGGC
rnacentral:rRNA from 1 species